AAGGGCUUUGCAUAAUGGUUUUAUAGGUUCAUUCAGUGCUCUGAAGUCCUCAGGGAUAAAGCGCCACACUCCUCAACCUGAAUCACCAUAGUGCAGAAAGACACAUUUCUUACAUGCAACUAUUAAGAAAUGCUGCUUAGGUGACAGCAAGCCAAAGGCACUGUGGCAAACCUAAGGACGCGUCAAUCACUGCUCUGCUGAAUCCCGGGUUGUCCCGGCAUUUCAAGUCAAACUUCGGGAGAGAAUUAGGAAUCCCAACCGUGGCGAAAUGGUUGAUGAAACUCUGGGCAGGAGUGUGGCAAGGCAGGGAUGUAGUUGGGAAAGGCACCGGUGGAGGGACGUCAGCACGCGCAGUUCAUUCAGCCUUGAUAUCCAUCCUUGAUAUUCGACCUUGUCACAACAGGAGUGCUGCCAGAUCUGACUGUGAGAAACAACUGCUCACUUUGAAAAUUUAAAAAAUUUAUUAAACCUUAACAAAAAUACAGCAAAGGACUACAUAAGGAAAAAGUUGCAGAGCUGGGAAUUGCCCUGUGCAUGCCAUGUGGCUGGUUCAUCUUCAAGAUGGAUGCUCAGUCUUUUAUACCCCUGGGGGUUGCAUCAGCCAGCCCAGCCCUCCCACAGUCUGUCACUCAGCUCUUCUUUGCCAUUUAUCAGUGGAGAUUCCUCUCUUGUGACUCGAUUGGAGGUCAGGUGUUGCCAUGCUGCACCCCCUGAGCUUUUCCAUUCCCCACUGCCCCAGGUAAGGGGAAUUUGUGCACACCUUCUUUGUACCUGUCCUAGACACCUCAGGCUGUCUGAUGGCAAAAAUACAGGGGGGGAAGGGAACUGUGGGAAGAACAGAGGACAAUAACAUAACUAUACAUCACUAAAGCUUUUCUUAAUAUUCACACAAUAGUUAUCUUUUAAUUGCGAGAGCAAAUCAUCUCAUUAUCCAUCUAUAACAUCAACAAAACUUUCCAGAGCCUUUGGGAUGGAGUGCAGGUUUCAGGCAGCUCAUGGCUGUUUCAGGUUAACUUUAUGCCUCUCAUCCUGUGUGAAUGCAAUAAAGAUCAGCCCCUUCUCAUGGUAUUCUUUAGGCAAAGACUGUGUGCUUUAAGAUUCCACCAAAAUCCAGACCAAUCUUACAAAGGUCAUGCUGUAACACUGAAACCAACCCAGAAAUAGGAGGGGAAACCACAUGGUUAAAAUCCAGCUGCUGUUUUAUCCAGCUUGCUAAAUGCCUGUCAGUAUUUGUAUGUGCUUGUGCCUGCAGCAUCAGGAGUGCCAGCAGAGCUGGACUUUCAGUUUCACAUGGACUUUGAGUGAAAGGGAGGAAAGUUCCCUGCACACACCACAAGUGCAGGCUGUCCCUUCAAAGGUACACAGCAGGGUACUGAAAUAUGUAAAGGUAUUGCCAGCAGAGUCUGGCUGCCUGGCUGGGACAGCUGCACUGCAGACACACAAACUCUCUCAAGCACAUGGAGAGCCCAGAGGAGAGGGAAAUGAAUGGCAGCAGCUGGAUGGAGCGUGGCC